GAUGAAUGCUGGCGGCGUGCCUAACACAUGCAAGUCGAGCGGCAGCGAGGGGUGCUUGCACCCUGUCGGCGAGCGGCGAACGGCUGAGUAACGCGUAGGAAUUUGCCCCAAAGUGAGGAAUAACUGCCCGAAAGGGUAGCUAAUGCCGCAUAUGGUCUUCGGAUUAAAGGAUUUAUCCGCUUUGGGUGAAGCCUGCGUUGGAUUAGGUUGUUGGUAGGGUAAUGGCCUACCAAGCCGACGAUCCAUAGCUGGCCUGAGAGGAUGAUCAGCCAGACUGGAACUGAGACACGGUCCAGACUCCUACGGGAGGCAGCAGUGAGGAAUCUUCCACAAUGGGCGAAAGCCUGAUGGAGCAACGCCGCGUGAAGGAUGAAGGCCUUCGGGUUGUAAACUUCUUUUAUGAGUGAAGAAUAUGACGGUAACUCAUGAAUAAGCACCGGCUAACUACGUG
rnacentral:rRNA from 1 species